rnacentral:rRNA from 1 species
UCGUGACUGCGUGCCUUUUGAAGAAUGAGCCUGCGAGUUUGCGGUGUGUUGCGAGGUUAACCCGGGUGGGGUAGCCGUAGCGAAAGCGAGUCCGAAGAGGGCGUUUCAGUAGCACGCUCAAGACCCGAAGCGGAGUGAUCUAGCCAUGGGCAGGUUGAAGCGGCUGUAAGAGGUCGUGGAGGACCGAACCCACCAGGGUUGAAAACCUGGGGGAUGACCUGUGGUUAGGGGUGAAAGGCCAAUCAAACUCCGUGAUAGCUGGUUCUCCCCGAAAUGCAUUUAGGUGCAGCGUCGUGUGUUUCUUGCCGGAGGUAGAGCACUGGAUAGGCGAUGGGCCCUACCGGGUUACUGACCUUAGCCAAACUCCGAAUGCCGGUAAGUGAGAGCGCGGCAGUGAGACUGUGGGGGAUAAGCUCCAUGGUCGAGAGGGAAACAGCCCAGAGCAUCGACUAAGGCCCCUAAGCGUACGCUAAGUGGGAAAGGAUGUGGAGUCGCAGAGACAACCAGGAGGUUGGCUUAGAAGCAGCCAUCCUUGAAAGAGUGCGUAAUAGCUCACUGGUCAAGUGAUUCCGCGCCGACAAUGUAGCGGGGCUCAAGCGUACCGCCGAAGUCGUGUCAAUCCAGCAUAUGCAUCUAACGGUGGCUGGGUUGGGUAGGGGAGCGUCGUCUGCCGGGUGAAGCAGCCGUGUAAGCGAGUUGUGGACGGUUGACGAGUGAGAAUGCAGGCAUGAGUAGCGAUACACACGUGGGAAACGUGUGCGCCGAUUGACUAAGGGUUCCUGGGUCAAGCUGAUCUGCCCAGGGUAAGUCGGGACCUAAGGCGAGGCCGACAGGCGUAGUCGAUGGAUAACCGGUUGAUAUUCCGGUACCCGCUGUGAAGCGUCAAGCAUUGAAUCCAGUGAUGCUAAGCCCGUGAAGCCGUUCCGGACCCUUCGGGGAAUGGAAAGUGGUGGAGCCGGUGGCCCGAGCUGGUAGUAGGUGAGUGAUGGGGUGACGCAGGAAGGUAGUCCAUCCCGGGCGGUGGUUGUCCCGGGGUAAGGGUGUAGGACGUCAGGUAGGUAAAUCCGCCUGGCAUGUGUCUGAGACCUGAUGCCGAGCCGAUUGUGGUGAAGUGGAUGAUCCUAUGCUGUCGAGAAAAGCCUCUAGCGAGUUUUAUGGCGGCCCGUACCCUAAACCGACUCAGGUGGUCAGGUAGAGAAUACCGAGGCGUUCGGGUGAACUAUGGUUAAGGAACUCGGCAAAAUGCCCCCGUAACUUCGGGAGAAGGGGGGCCAUUCCUGGUGAAGAGUCUUGCACUCGGAGCUGGGGGUGGCCGCAGAGACCAGCGAGAAGCGACUGUUUACUAAAAACACAGGUCCGUGCGAAGCCGUAAGGCGAUGUAUACGGACUGACGCCUGCCCGGUGCUGGAACGUUAAGGGGACCGGUUAGCUCCAUUUCGGUGGGGCGAAGCUGAGAACUUAAGCGCCAGUAAACGGCGGUGGUAACUAUAACCAUCCUAAGGUAGCGAAAUUCCUUGUCGGGUAAGUUCCGACCUGCACGAAUGGCGUAACGACUUCUCGACUGUCUCAACCAUAGGCCCGGUGAAAUUGCACUACGAGUAAAGAUGCUCGUUUCGCGCAGCAGGACGGAAAGACCCCGGGACCUUUACUACAGUUUGAUAUUGGUGUUCGGUUCGGCUUGUGUAGGAUAGCUGGGAGACUGUGAAGCGCUAACGCCAGUUAGUGUGGAGUCGUCGUUGAAAUACCAGUCUGGUCGUGCUGGAUGUCUAACCUGGGUCCGUGAUCCGGAUCAGGGACAGUGUCUGAUGGGUAGUUUAACUGGGGCGGUUGCCUCCUAAAGGGUAACGGAGGCGCCCAAAGGUUCCCUCAGCCUGGUUGGUAAUCAGGUGUUGAGUGUAAGUGCACAAGGGAGCUUGACUGUGAGACCGACGGGUCGAGCAGGGACGAAAGUCGGGACUAGUGAUCCGGCGGUGGCUUGUGGAAGCGCCGUCGCUCAACGGAUAAAAGGUACCCCGGGGAUAACAGGCUGAUCUUCCCCAAGAGUCCAUAUCGACGGGAUGGUUUGGCACCUCGAUGUCGGCUCGUCGCAUCCUGGGGCUGGAGUCGGUCCCAAGGGUUGGGCUGUUCGCCCAUUAAAGCGGUACGCGAGCUGGGUUUAGAACGUCGUGAGACAGUUCGGUCCCUAUCCGCUGUGCGCGUAGGAGUCUUGAGAAGGGCUGUCCCUAGUACGAGAGGACCGGGACGGACGAACCUCUGGUGUGCCAGUUGUUCUGCCAAGGGCAUGGCUGGUUGGCUACGUUCGGGAGGGAUAACCGCUGAAAGCAUCUAAGCGGGAAGCCUGCUUCGAGAUGAGGACUCCCACCCCCUUGAGGGGUUAAGGCUCCCAGGAGACGACUGGGUUGAUAGGCCAGAUCUGGAAGCACCGUGAGGUGUGGAGGUGACUGGUACUAAUAGGCCGAGGGCUUGUCCAUA